rnacentral:rRNA from 1 species
ACUCGAUUAAACCUAAAGGCGCAAUGAAAGUAAAGGUCCGCCUAGCGCGGACCGAGGGAGGAUGGGCUCGUCUAAGGGCGAGCCCCGCACUCCCGGGGCGUCUCGUCCUCAUCGCGAGGAGAGGCGCACCCAGAGCGUACACGCUGGGACCCGAAAGAUGGUGAACUAUGCCUGGUCAGGACGAAGUCAGGGGAAACCCUGAUGGAGGUCCGUAGCGAUUCUGACGUGCAAAUCGAUCGUCGGAACUGGGUAUAGGGGCGAAAGACUAAUCGAACCUUCUAGUAGCUGGUUCCUUCCGA